rnacentral:rRNA from 1 species
GAUGAACGCUAGCGGCAGGCUUAAUACAUGCAAGUCGAGGGGCAGCAUGACUGUAGCAAUACAGUUGAUGGCGACCGGCAAACGGGUGCGGAACACGUACAGAACCUUCCUUCGAGCGGGGAAUAGCCCAGAGAAAUUUGGAUUAAUACCCCAUAGUACAACGGAGUGGCAUCACUUUGUUGUUAAAGAUUUAUCACUUGAAGAUGGCUGUGCGGCUGAUUAGGUAGUUGGCGGGGUAACGGCCCACCAAGCCUGCGAUCAGUAACUGGUGUGAGAGCACGACCAGUCACACGGGCACUGAGACACGGGCCCGACUCCUACGGGAGGCAGCAGUAAGGAAUAUUGGUCAAUGGACGAAAGUCUGAACCAGCCAUGCCGCGUGGAGGAUGAAGGUCCUCUGGAUUGUAAACUUCUUUUAUAUGGGACGAAAAAAGGGUUUUCUAACUCGUCUGACGGUACCAUAUGAAUAAGCACCGGCUAACUCCGUGCCAGCAGCCGCCGUAACAC